rnacentral:lncRNA from 1 species
GCCCCACCCCCACAGAGUCUGAGUCUGUUAAAAUUUGCUGUGGCUCUUACGGCUCAAAACAGAAUUUCACAAUAGCUAUGCUUAUCUGUAAAAUCACUUUCUCAUAUACAAAAAAAAUAAAAAUAAAAAAAUCUUCUUUCCUUUUCACAGGAAAUGGACAAAGACUAGACUGGCUCACUGGUCCUGAAACAGAAAUUUCUAUUGAAAGGUUUUGCAGCUCUCUAUGGACAUAGAUCCGCCCUGCUCCAUCUAUAACAUCUCUCUCAACUGCAGUUAUUCAUUCAUGAGAACUUUGUAUUAGUUCCUUCUGCCCAUGCCAUCUUCUGCAGACACAAAUGUUUAUGCUUCACUUAAAAGGUGGCAUGAAUAUGUUUGUAUAAUGUGGGUCAUUGCAGGUCAUUGCUAAUAUAAUAGAGUAAACCUCUGCUCAGCUGGCCUCAAGUUACACCACACCCAUAGCUGUCAAUUUCUAUCUUCCUCUAGACAUAUACAACGUGGUGGGAGGGAAACAGCCUAGGGGUAGGACUUAAGCCAACCUACUUUGGAUUUCUGGGACUACUCUUACCAGCUGUGUGAACUUGGGCGAAUUUUGUAGCUUUGAUGAGCCUCACUUUCCUUAGCUAUAAAAUGGGGACGAUGCCUAUUUUGCAGAGGUUUGAGAGGAUUAAUAAUUGUUUGAGCAAAGCGCCUGACAAUUAGUAAAUUAGUAAAUAAAUAUUAAGUUGAAUCAUAUUAAACCGCCGAUAAAUGGCAAUAACUAGUCAUUUUACCUAAAGUUGUUAGCCCUGGGAUUGUUACCAUGAUUGUGUGUACACAGGCUGAGCCCAGGUACCUACCAUGCAAAGUUUAAGGGGGUGUUCAUUCUCAGGUGCCGACUCCAUACUUGCAUGACUCUGAGAGCAAAUAUUUCCUUAAAUUUUGUUCCCAACCACCUCUCUUGG